GCCUGGAUAAAGCCAUUUUGGUAGGCCGUACAUAGUGGCUUCAUAUUUCACCUCGUGGAAAAAAUAUUUCGCGUUGUAUUUCCUAUUGUGCAUCAGAGACUAGACGAUCGUUUCGUUGAAGUUGCAUAACUUCACCAGCCUGUGCAGGAUACCUGCGGAACUCGGUGUGUCGGAUUAGUUAACACGGGGACCGUACGCAGUUUUCAUUACGCGGCACAGUUGAAUGGUCGUCGUCCGGUGUUGACGUCCCAACGAACAAAGGAACCGUGAGGCCGACGCACGCUCGUUAGCGCAUUCAUAGCGAGAUAUUAUUUAUGAAAUCAUUUAAAAUUAAACCCACCCCGACGCCUUUUUUGUUAUAGAAUUUUAUUUUGAGAGUCUUAUCCUAAAACACAACUAACCAGUUAGCCUGAGUCAUUCAGACGUGUUAGCAACAUCGGCUAAGGUUAGCCGCAGUCGUGGACUACUAGCGAGCUAACUGCUAUAACUUUAGCAUUGUUUUGAUUCAAGAAAGAAGUUUUCUUUUUGGGCAAAAUGGCUGAAGUUUAUAUCCGAGUGGCAGAGGAGGAGAACGAGGAACCCAUGGAGAUCCCGUCAGAGGACGACGGCACGGUUCUGCUUUCAACGGUGGCAGCUCAGUUUCCAGGGGCGUGUGGCCUACGGUUCAGGAGCCCCGUGUCUCAGUGCAUGCGAGGAGUGCGUCUUGUGGAAGGAGUCCUACACGCGCCAGAAAACGGAUGGGGCAAUGUCGUGUACGUGGUGAACUACCCAAAAGACAACAAAAGAAAAAUGGAGGAAAUUGACGCCUCCUCUGCUGUAAAGAUGAAGAGAGGAGACAUGAAGACAUCCGACCUGAUCGUACUGGGUCUUCCUUGGAAAACAACUGAGCAGGACCUGAAGGACUACUUUAGCACAUUUGGAGAAGUCAUCAUGGUUCAGGUAAAACGAGAUGCCAAGACUGGAAACUCCAAAGGAUUCGGUUUUGUGAGGUUCACAGAGUAUGAGGCUCAGGAGAAGGUGAUCUCACAGCGCCAUAUGAUUGAUGGGAGAUGGUGCGACUGCAAGCUCCCAAACUCGAAGGUGAAUCUGCAAGGUCCUGAUGAGCCACUGAGGAGCCGGAAAGUGUUUGUAGGUCGUUGCACAGAAGACAUGACCACUGAUGACCUCCGGCAGUUCUUUAUGCAGUAUGGGGAGGUCACAGAUGUCUUCAUCCCCAAGCCAUUUCGUGCUUUUGCCUUUGUCACAUUUGCAGAUGAUCAGGUUGCCCAGUCUCUCUGUGGAGAGGACCUAAUAAUCAAAGGCGUCAGUGUUCACAUCUCAAAUGCUGAGCCCAAACAUGGCAAUAGGCAGUUUGAUCGCACAGCACGGUUUGGGAAUGGUUUUGGAGCUCAAGCAUUUGGUAGCAGCCGUAGUGGGUUAGGGAGCAGCACUAACAGUAGUCUGGCUAAUUUUGGGUCCUUCAGUCUGAACCCUGCCAUGAUGGCUGCCGCUCAGGCUGCUCUGCAGAGUAGUUGGGGGAUGAUGGGCAUGCUGGCUAGCCAGCAGCAGACAUCCACCUCAGGCAGCACCUCCAGUGGAACAAGCUCUAGUAGGGACCAGAGUCAGUCUUUCAGUACAGGCAACAGCAACUACGGCACCAGCUCAGCCAGUCUCGGCUGGGGAACAGGGUCAAACUCUACAACCACUGGUACAGGGUUUAGCUCAGGUUUUGGGACCAGUAUGGAGUCAAAGUCAUCUGGGUGGGGUAUGUAAGUUAAAUGUUUGUAUGGUAAGUAUUGUGACAGAGAUGAGUCUUUUCAAAAUUUAUUUCUGGUGUUGAUGCGUAUCUGAGAACUUAACACUUUUGUGGAAGAUGUUUUGUACAUUUGGAAAAAAUGCUAAAGAUUUAAUUUAGGAAGUGUUGAAGUGAAUUGUUUACCAGGAUGUCUGACUAAAGUGCUAUUUUUGAUGUCUCAUUUGUUUGUAUCCAUUUCAACUGGAUUCUCUAAUGCAUGUAUUGUGAAAUGUGAUAUAACCAUUUUGAAAAUGCAUGAAUGUUUGUGGUUCACCAUUAUCCGGCUUUGUCAUCGACCUAAAAGGCAAUCUUGCAUUGGGAAGAAUCUGGUUGAAACCUAAAUGUUUUAAGUGCAACUUUAUUUGCAGUCAAGUUCUGUGGAAAAGCCUUCAUUGAAAUCUCUUCUGCAGUUCACCUCUCUUCCAUUUUCCUGUGAGGAAGCUCCUCUUUGGCAGCAUUCUUGGGGUGAUAUCGGUAUCAUUCUCCCUCUUCCCACCUGUAAAUGCUAUGCCAUCAAAGAACGGCUUCACUCCGCAUGUUCUAAGAGACGGGACCUUGGGCUCUGCUGGUCGAGGUCUCCGUUUGAACCCUGACUGAAGUCUGUUCUGAAGGACGAAGACGGAAGUUCCAACACUUUCAGUGUGUGGCCUUCUCAGACAUGACAUGGGGUAGUACCUGUCUUUUUGCUGCUUUUGAUGGCUUGUCAGAGUGAAUCAUCCCUUUUUGAUUAUUCACAGCUACUCUUAAGGUUAGACGGAAGGUCUAGAGGGGAUCACUGUCUAUAGAAAUCCUUCAAUACAUGAGCUCAGCAGUGUGGCAUUACCUCUCCAAACUGUAUUUUUUAAGCCUUUAAUUUGGCUUAAACAAUCAGACAACUAAUAAUAUAUUAGGUAAUUUUAUGGCAUUUGUUCGGUAAGUUUUAGAUGACCAUACACACUUAGUGGCCACUUCAGAAGUACACCUGUACAUUCUAUUGUAAAGUUAUACAGAAGUUAUGUCAUAAAUGUCACUUUCAGGAAGUUGAAAAUGUUAAAUUUUAAGGGUUUCCUCAGAUCCUCAGAAAGUUUUAAAAGGCACUGACUUUUUCUUUUUUAAGGUCUUAAUUGGUAUUAAAAUACCUUAAAUUGGUCUUUCAAAAGUCUUAAAAUUGUGAAGACAUGGAAAGUAGUAUUUUAUAAAUAUUUUUCUUCCAAUGAAUCGUACAAUCUCAAAAGGCACCAGAUUCAUUUUUAAAAAUAUGGCCUUAAUUGGCGUUAAAAUGUCUUAAAUCAGUAUUUCAAAAGUCUUAAAAUUGUUAAGAUACGGGAAGUGUGAUUUUAUAAAUAUUUUUUUUUCCUGAUGAAUCGUAAAAUCACAAAAACGUACUGUUUUUUGUUUUUGGAAAAUUAGGCCUUAACUGGUAUUAAAAUGGCUUAAAUCAUUCUUUGAAAAAGUCUUAAAAUUGUCAAGACAUGGGACAUAGGUUUAUAUAUUUUUUCUUGUGAUGAAUCGUAAAAUCUCAAAAUAAUUAGUAACAUUUAUCUUUUUCCAAUAAAUGUCUCUCACAUUAGCAGCACCAAACGUUAUGUUUUAUGUUGUUAUAAAUAUUUGGGCACAACUGUCACUAUCUUUAAGUAACUGAUGGCGAUUUAUGUUUUUUUCUUCAAUAUUUAUAACUGUAAAUUUUGUCUUAAAUCUCGUUCUGCAUUAAAGUCUUAAAUCUAACUUGCCUUAAAUUAAAGGACCACUUAUUUUUGUAGGCAGCCGGAAAUUUUUAAUGCAAGCAUGUUUAACACUGAGGUUGUAGUUUGCGUUAUACUGGACUGGAUUAUAUUAACGUGUUUCUAAUUUUUUUCCCUUCCUAUCUACAUAUGAGUGGGGCAGACUAUUAAACUCCUCUGAACAUAAUGCAGACUCAUCACUACCUGUAGAGGUCAGUUUAUUAAGUAUUAACAAAAACAAAAAUUACAGGCAUCGUAAAAGUAGGCUUCAUGGCAGGUGUGUUGGAUUGCAUCAGAUUAUACAGGUGUACCUAAUAAAGUGGUCACUGAGUACACAUUAUGGACAGUUUGCCUGGCAGUCUUAACAAUACAAGUGAGGUCCCCCCCCCCAAAAAAACCAUUUAGAUUACUCAGUUUAAUGAAACAAGGUAGGUAUAUAAUUUAGCAGAGAUCUUGUAGUCAGUACUUUGGAGUCAGUUCAUGCAGGUUGUUGUUUGUCGAACCAGUGCCAAAUGCACUGUAAUUUGACAUUACAUCAGCAAGUCCCAGGACAGAUACCAGUCAGAGAAAGUACAUUAAACUUAUGUGAUACAUCAAAUGACAUCUGCUGUUGUAGGAUUGGUAGCUGAAUGUCUUUGGCACCUUUGACACUUAACUUCUUGUCAUGUGUUAGUCAGCCGUCAUGUUUAUUUGAAUGUUGGGCACAAGUGAGACACUGCGGGCCUGCCUGUGUCCUGUCCUUACUCUCUGCUCUCCUCCUCAGUGUCUCUACUCUUCCUCUUCCCAGUGCUCUUCUUUUUCAAAUCCCUCUGCUCCUGGUUCAGUUCUUCACUUUUAUUUUGUAUGUAGAUGGACUGAAAUAAAUAAAGGCAAAUUAAACAUUGA